CAGAAAUGGUGUUCAGCAGGAAUCUGCACGGGCUGCUUCAGCCAAGCAGCAAAGGAAAGGCUUCAGCUCCGCCUCCUUUUUCCUGACACACUUCCUGUUUGGCUCAGAGGUUUGGGAAAUUUUGUGAAUUGUUCAGAUUGGAAUGCUGCACAAUGCAGUGCAGUCAAGUGGUCGCACAAAUGCACACGCGUCCUCCUCCUCUGAUCCACAGUUGGUGUGAAAUGGAAAUAAGCCUUAAUAAGAGUGUCACUUGCCAAGCAAAAAGAGGUCGGUGAAGAAUUAUUAAACUGCCAGUAUUUUCAACAGUCAUUAGGAGUAAUCACAAAUGUGUGAGUACUGUUUAGACAUGGGCGCAGUACUGUAUAUAGAUACCUGGAUAAUGUGAUAGGGUCUAAUAAUUAUGAAAUCAUUUCAUUACAGAGGCCCGAAGGCCAUCAACUCACCCCAUAUUGGGGGCGAUGUAUGCAAUGAGUCCAGACACGAUGGAAGAAGGUUUGAACAAUACGACGGAAUCU